GAUGAACGCUGGCGGCGUGCCUAAUACAUGCAAGUCGAGCGAACAGACGAGGAGCUUGCUCCUCUGACGUUAGCGGCGGACGGGUGAGUAACACGUGGAUAACCUACCUAUAAGACUGGGAUAACUUCGGGAAACCGGAGCUAAUACCGGAUAAUAUAUUGAACCCCAUGGUUCAAUAGUGAAAGACGGUUUUGCUGUCACUUAUAGAUGGAUCCGCGCCGCAUUAGCUAGUUGGUAAGGUAACGGCUUACCAAGGCAACGAUGCGUAGCCGACCUGAGAGGGUGAUCGGCCACACUGGAACUGAGACACGGUCCAGACUCCUACGGGAGGCAGCAGUAGGGAAUCUUCCGCAAUGGGCGAAAGCCUGACGGAGCAACGCCGCGUGAGUGAUGAAGGUCUUCGGAUCGUAAAACUCUGUUAUUAGGGAAGAACAAAUGUGUAAGUAACUAUGCACGUCUUGACGGUACCUAAUCAGAAAGCCACGGCUAACUACGUG
rnacentral:rRNA from 1 species